AACAGGAUUAGAUACCCUGGUAGUCCACGCCCUAAACGAUGUCAACUGGUUGUUGGGAGGGUUUCUUCUCAGUAACGUAACUAACGCGUGAAGUUGACCGCCUGGGGAGUACGGCCGCAAGGUUGAAACUCAAAGGAAUUGACGGGGACCCGCACAAGCGGUGGAUGAUGUGGUUUAAUUCGAUGCAACGCGAAAAACCUUACCUACCCUUGACAUGCCAGGAAUCUUGCAGAGAUGUGAGAGUGCUCGAAAGAGAACCUGGACACAGGUGCUGCAUGGCCGUCGUCAGCUCGUGUCGUGAGAUGUUGGGUUAAGUCCCGCAACGAGCGCAACCCUUGUCAUUAGUUGCUACGAAAGGGCACUCUAAUGAGACUGCCGGUGACAAACCGGAGGAAGGUGGGGAUGACGUCAGGUCAUCAUGGCCCUUAUGGGUAGGGCUACACACGUCAUACAAUGGCCGGGACGGAGGGCUGCCAACCCGCGAGGGGGAGCUAAUCCCAGAAACCCGGUCGUAGUCCGGAUCGCAGUCUGCAACUCGACUGCGUGAAGUCGGAAUCGCUAGUAAUCGCGGAUCAGCUUGCCGCGGUGAAUACGUUCCCGGGUCUUGUACACACCGCCCGUCACACCAUGGGAGUGGGUUUUACCAGGAGUGGCUAGUCUAACCGCAAGGAGGACGGUCACCACGGUAGGAUUCAUGACUGGGGUGAAGUCGUAACAAGGUAACC
rnacentral:rRNA from 1 species